UGAAGUUUAAAAGAGAUGGUGCGAAUUCUUUAAGAGGCAGUUCGAUGUUACUUGUGGUGUAAUAAGCUUGGUGUAAAUAUUAUAUACCGGCAUCCUCACAGAAAGCAACAUUUAAAGAGAGUUAAAUUAAUUGAGAAUGUUGACAGCUGUGCACAUUAUUUGUUCAUCUUGUGCAUUGGAAAUUAAGUCUGUGAUAGUUUAGAAAUUUACGAUAACUUUAGAAAUUAGAGUAAGAAUCAUGUUUCGGUGCAUUCCGAUAUUUGGUGGUUGUAACCGACAAGUCGAAUUUAUAGACAAAAGGCAUUGCAAUUUAAUAAGUGUUCCCGACGAUGUUUUACGUUAUGCUCGGACGUUAGAGGAACUAGAGUUGGAUGCCAAUCAUUUAAAAGAUUUGCCCAGGGGUCUCUUUAGACUAGUACGAUUAAGAAAACUGUCUUUAAGUGACAAUGAAAUUUGUCGUUUUCCUCCAGACAUUGCUAAUUUGGUCAACUUGGUAGAAUUGGAUGUUAGCAAGAAUGACCUUGAAAAUAUUCCAGAUAAUAUUAAACACCUGAAAGCAUUGGAGAUUGUAGAUUUUAGUGUAAAUCCACUUACAAAAAUUCCUACAGCCUUAACCCAGUUGAAAAACUUGAAAGCUGUAAGCCUUAAUGAUGUGUCAAUUGUACAGUUGCCCAAUGACAUUGGAAACUUGGUCAACCUUCAGUCAUUGGAGCUCAGAGAGAAUCUUCUAAGGAAUUUGCCACCAUCUUUUGCUUUCUUAACCAAAUUGGAACGCCUUGAUAUUGGUAGCAAUGAAUUUGAAGAGCUUCCAGCCCUUAUUGGCCAGUUGAGUAGCCUUCAAGAACUGUGGUUGGACUGUAAUCGACUCACUACUGUACCAAAGGAGAUAAAAAAUCUGAAAAAACUUAGUUGUUUAGAUAUUAGUGAAAAUAGACUGGAUUUCUUACCUGAAGCAAUAGCAGGAUUAGAGAGCCUUGCUGACUUACACUUGUCACAGAACUGUCUUGAAAGUCUGCCAGAGAGUUUUAGUGAGCUUAGUAAACUAACUAUCUUAAAGGCAGAUCAGAACAGAAUCACUGCCCUACCUUCAGGUAUAGGAAAAUGUGAAAGCCUUCAAGAAAUGAUAUUCACAGAAAAUUUACUAUCUGAUCUUCCAUCUUCAAUAGGAAACCUUGUUAAUGUGACAAACCUUAACUUUGACAGAAACAGACUUACCAAGCUUCCUUCACAAAUAGGUAAUCUAGUUCACUUAGGAGUCCUCUCUCUCCGAGAUAACCUCCUCAGUCACCUUCCUGUUGAAAUGGGAAUGUUAAAAGAACUACGUGUUUUAGAUGUCUGUGGAAACAAGCUUCAGUUUCUUCCUAUUACUGUAACUGGACUGAACCUCAAGGCUUUGUGGCUCUCUGAAAAUCAGUCCAAGCCCCUGCUGAAAUUCCAGACUGAUGAACAAGAUGGUAUGAAAGUGUUGACUUGCUUUCUGUUGCCUCAGCAGGACUACCAGAAUCAACUUCUAGGAGACUCCCAGCCUGGAAAGCUGAUGGUUUAUUCUACAUCUGAAAACCUUUUCCAAGAAACUUUGGACCAAGAUGAUUGGUAUCAAAAUGUUGGUGACAGAGUAUCAGCAGUUAGGUUUUGUGAGGAAAGUGAUGAAGAGAAAGAAGAAAAAGAGGGCCAGUUUAUAAGGCAUGACACUCCUCAUCCUCGAGAAAUGAAGGCUAGACAUCAUAAACUUUUUUCCAGCAUGUAUAAAACAAAGAACAUUGAUGGCCAUGUUGUAUCCCAUGAUGAGAGUGAAGACAUUACAGUUGAAAGUUUCCGACCUCAGCGAGCCUGUAAUGAUGAAGACAUGGUUGAUUCAAAAGAACCAGUCACAGUUGAUCAUUGCAGUAAAACAAUGGAUGAUACAAAUGAUAAACAAGAGGCACCUGCUCAUUUAUCAAAGAGUUUCUUGAGGCAUAAGAGAGAGAAAGAAUUGAUUUCAUCUAUUGAAGAACUUGAAAAAAAUGAGAUGCCUGUACUUCAGCAAAGACCUACCUAUCUCAGACAGGAAGAACAAUUGCAGGUAAAGGAGGCUGGUAUCCAAAUCUCCCCAACUCAUGACCAAGAAGAUUCAUCCUUAGACCAUUCCUAUGCUCAGCUUUCACCCGAACAUUCUAUAAUCAGCUGUACCACACUGCCAGACUCUUCAAAUGAGACUUCAGGAAUCAUUUGCUCUAGAGAAGAAGUGGUUAUGAAAGAUGACCCAGAGACAGAUGUGAACUCUGCCUCAGAAGAGUCUAAUAAUAGUGUUGCAAGAAUGGUUGAUGAACGAAAAGUAGGAUUUACCUCAGACAAUGAGGACCAGCCAGAACAUCACCAGAAACUUCAGCGAAGGGAUACUCCACACCAUCUGAAAAACAAACGCAUCAAUCCAUCUACUUCAAAAGAGGAUGAAGAAAAGGUCUCUGAAAUUCUGGCACAAACAAUGAGAAAAGAAGAGGAGCUUCUCCCAUCACCUCCACCUUCCCCUCCUCAACCACAAACUUCCAUUCAGCAAAUAGAAAGAUGUAAAGACAGUUUGGGAUCACUGACUCCAGGAAGUGCUUCUCAGCUCACUACAACUAGCCCUGUGCCUGGAGAGAUGGUAGAAGAUGUGCAUAGCAUUAUCAUUCACAGAAAUUCAUCAGGAUUAGGGCUUAGCAUUGCAGGAGGCAAGGGUUCAACACCUUACAAAGGUGAAGAUGAGGGAAUUUUCAUUUCUCGUCUCACUGAUGGAGGACCAGCACGUCAGUCAGGCUUAAAGAUUGGUGACAAAGUUCUUAUGGUAAAUGGAAAAUCUGUAGUAAAUGUGGACCAUUAUGAGGCUGUUGAGAUACUGAAGACAGCUGGAAAUUAUAUCAAACUAGUGAUCUUACGUGAACUUCCCAACUUCCUUAGCCACACUGAGGAUCCAUCUCCACUACCUCCAUUCAAAGAACAUCAAGAGUCAAAAAAAGAAGUGGAUACACCUUGUCUGGAACAAAGAGUAAACAAUCUUGCAGAGCUAGAGUGUGAGGAGUUAUCUUCUGAGAAUCUGUCAAAACCAGUAGCAGAAGAUGCUGUUAUUCCAUAUCCUGGUCUACUUAGUCGUGUAAACCAACAACAAAAAGAAGGUGUUAGUAACUCUAAGACUUCAGAACAAACUCAUGAAUUUUCUAGUGUAUCAACAUUCAACCCUCUCUCUGAUGAUGUAGAGUAUGAGAUGAAACAUGAGAUUGUCUAUACUACACUAAUUAGAAGUCAUGGUGGACUUGGACUUAGCAUAUCAGGAGGUCAUGAUUCGGAUUCCUUUAAAGAAGACAGUCAAGGUAUAUACAUCUCAUGUAUGGCUGAAAAUGGAGCUGCUGCCAAAGAUGGAAAACUAAAAGUAGGAGACAAAAUUCUGUCAAUUAAUGGAGUGGACGUAGAGGAUGCUCGUCAUGACCAAGCAGUCAGCAUGCUUAUGGGAUUAGAGCGAUUUGUCCGAAUAGUUGUCCAAAGAGACAAUCUGGUACCUAAAGGAUUCAAAGAACCCAGUAAGCUGGUCAUUCCUGAGAAAUCUGCUAAAACACUUGAGAUGCAAAAGUCUAAUAACAGUCUGUAUUCUUCAGACUCUUACAUGGCUAACAGACCAUCCUAUGUGGGCAGUUACAAAAAAGAUGGAAGGCCAACAUAUUCCAUCUUCACUAAACUACCUGGCCUUAAUAGUGAUCCUAUGGGAACAUCUCCAUACCUUUAUCCAUCUACCAGUACUCAAACCACUAGUACAUUCACUGCCAGAAGCCCAACAACACCAUUUUCUCAUCCUUCCAUGCUGGGUGCAUUCCCUACUGUGCCAACCACUACAACACAGCCUGUAAGAUGUAGCAGCUUUUCCAGUUUCACAGAUGCUGAUCUACAUUCUCAGCCUUUUUCAGCCACUUAUACCAGCAGUCCAACAUCGAGACAUGAGUAUGCAAAUUAUGUGCCAAUUUCAAACCUUCAGUCAAAAUAUCCUGACUCUCAAGCCCAUGUCUUUUCUACUCAUUUAGAGCCACAUCAAACAGAAAAUACAACUCUUCCAGAAUAUUCCAAUUCCCAGCCACAAAAUUCUACAAUGCAUUCGCAGUUGCCCCUAAAUACAUCUAUAUCAAUUCCAGCAUACAUCGACUCUCCAUCCCAAAUAAAUUCAGUUCAUUCACAGAAACCACAGAUGUAUGGUGAGUCAUCUCAAAACAUUCACUUACAUACAACAAACUUACAGAGAGCUGAAAUAACUCCAGUGAGUAGUUCAAGUCUUCAGCUAAAUGACUCUCAAAUGGCAGUAGCCAUUCGGCAAGAAGAGCCCUCUGUACUGGUAGGAUCAGAAUUGACUUCACUUAAAAGUCUUGGAACAUUCAAAGAAACCAUCAGCCAGUCAGCAUUUACAGAAAAUGUUAAUAUCCAAGUCAAUAAGAAUGUUCUGGCUCUUCCCAAAUUUGAAGAGGAGAUUACACUGAUAAAAGCUGGAGGACCUUUAGGUCUUAGUAUUAUUGGUGGCUCAGACCGUCCUUGUCAUCCAUUUGGCUGUGGUGCCCCUGGAAUAUUCAUAUCUAAGAUUGUCCCUAAUAGCACAGCAGCAAACUCAGGAAAACUUUGUGUAGGUGACCGAUUAAUUAAGGUGAAUGGUGUUGAUGUACAGAGAGCUUCCCACCAAGAAGCUGUUUUAGCACUACUUGCACCAAUCUAUCAAAUGGUCCUUACCAUUCAACAUGACCCACUCCCCAAGGGCUGGCAGAAAAUUAUAAUUCCAAGAGAACCACAUGAAAAUCUGGGGGUUACAAUCAGAGGAGGAACACAAGACCAGCCUGGAAAUCCAAAGGAUAGUGCUGAUGAAGGAAUAUUUGUGUCUUCAAUUCAACCAGAUGAAGCAGCAGCAAGAAAUGGAAAACUAAAAGAAGGGAUGAGGGUUAUUGAGGUAAAUGGAGUGUCAUUGCUGGGCUCUUCUUAUCAAGAGGCUGUUCUUGCCUUAAGCAAUGUAGGAGAUUCAGUAGAGUUCACCGUUUGUGAUGGUUACAAUACAACAGAUGUUGAGAACCCUGUGAAUGAAAUGUCUUCACACUGUGUAUUCUCCAUAGAUCAAGAUUAUGUUAAUGAAGUUUCCCAACAAGGAUGUAAAAAGAAGGAGCAGGUUGAAGAUAUUCUUAGCCUCUCAUCUAAUUCUUCCAGUUAUGCAGAAAAGGUUUUACCCCAUUUACCAGAGGGUGAAAAGUUUGAAGAAUUAACUUCAGCAUCAGCAUCCCAAAUUUUACCAGACGAUGUAGGAGAUUCUAAACAUUUGUCAGAAACUAUUACAAAAAUUGAACAGAUAAAUAAUUCAGUGAAUGCACCAACAUCAGGGACUGGAGUGAGCUUUCAUCCAGACUGCACUGAAGUGGAGUCUGACUUUGUGAAUACUACACAUUCAGAACAGUUGCUUAGAAGUCAGGAGGAAGGGCAGGAAGACUACAAUGUAGAGUUAGUCCACAAGGAGGACAACAGCAGUUUGUCAGCAUCUUGGUCAAACUUGGCUACAGAAACUUCAGGUACAGUAUCAGCUGUUCGGACAGUAAAAGCUGAGAGAAGAAUGCAAGCUAAGCUAAAACAGGAGGGUCUGGAAAUUCCUGAGGAGGAACUUGCUAAACUUACCCCAGCUCAACAGAGGGCACUACAAGCAGAAAAACGAGCAGCUUGGAGGCAAGCAAGAUUGAAAUCACUAGAAGAGGAUGCAUUUCGAGCUCAAAUGGUAAUAACACGAGCUAAGAAGAUGGCUGAAGCAAUGGAAAUAAGAUCAGUGUCACCUGCCUUGUCAAAUAUAAAGCCUGAUAUUAAUGAUCAGAAUAAAGAAGACCUCUCCACAAAAUUUGAACCAGAAACAUACAAAGGACAUGAAGAACUGUUAUUUCACACUAACGGAAAUGAAAAGAUGGAAACAAAUGAUGGAAAAGUGUUAUCUCUAGAAUUUAAAACAGAAGAAAAUGGCCAUGCUGAAAAUGAUGCAGUGAUGUCUGUUGUACCAUCAUUGAAGUAGCUGAAAUAUUACCUUCAGUAGUCCUCUUCUAAGAAAGAUAGCAAAAACUAGAAUAGCUAAGAAGGCAAGACAAAAAAGGUGUAAUAGGAGACAUUUCAAAAGGUGAUAGAUAUGUACCUGUAAAUGCUGUCACCAGGCAUGAUGCAAAAAUGAUGAAAUACAAGAAACUGCUGAUGAAAACAGUGAUUGAGCAUAACAGACUGUGUUAUUGUCAAUGUUUUGUUUCAAGUGGUCUGUACAAAAAGUUUCAAGAUAAAACUGCAAUUUCUGAUAGCUUUCAAAU
rnacentral:misc_RNA from 1 species